GGCAUGGACAACCGAACCCAACCGAACAUGUGCCUUUUCCAUCUCAGAUUCUAUGAGAAUCUGACCUAUCGUGCCCCCUCCCCUCCAGGCUUUCCUCUUCCAAUCGUCGCACCACGGCUGCCGUUUCAUGCAGUGUAUCCUGGCAAACGGUGACGCAUUGGGACAGACAGAAAUAGACGGUUCAGUCUCAGAGAAAGUCUGAAAGGGUUUCUGUCUGGCUGCCCUGGAACUCACUCACUUUGAAUUGAUCAAUAAGAGCAUCUGGACUCAGACAUCCAGACAUACUAAUUUAUAACCUGAAGAUAAAAUGCGCAUCAGGAAUAGAUUUGAAAAAGGGAAGCUCAUGUUGUGAUUACCUCGCAAAAGUUUUUAUUUUUUUACUGUUGGUCCUAGACUUUGCAACAAGCUCCCUCUUCAGAUCAGACAGGACUCCCCAUUCAACCUUUUUUAAAACUUUACUCAAGACCCAUAUUUUGGAUUCUUGAGCUUGAGCGGGUGGACUGAAUUUGAUCGUGCUGUUGAUGUUUUAUGCUGGUUUGUUUACCGUCAUACUUUCACUCCAUUGGCUAGUUUUUCAAGUCCUUUAGGCAACUCCCCCUGUUGCACUUAAACUGCCGAUAUCAUGCAAAAAUCAAAUUUUUUGAGCUUUUAAGUUUAUUAUAAUGUCAAUUCCUUACAAAAAAAUAAAAUCCAAAGAGGUAAUUUACUCCAUUCAUGGAUCUCUGAGCGUUCAUGAGCACCAGCACCUCCCAAUCUGCAAAAACGAGUGGGCCCUCACAUUGUGACAUCACAAGUGGGGAACAGCCCCUUCCAUGAAGCAUCUGUGCUGCCAGCACUGCCCCCAAGCUAACACCUACUUUCUCUGCAAAGCUAGCAUUAAUCGGCGUUUCAUUUUAGCAUCAACUUUAAGAAUAAGCGGUUUGGAUGUCAUUUGUUUUUGUGGGUUAAAUGGAGACAUGCUACCGAGGCGGGCUCUAGGUUGACGUCAUGAAAUGGGCGGCAAACCAGAAAGACCACUGACCACUCUAUCUCUUCGGCAACUUCUAAUCGGAAGGUUGCCUGUCAGACCACCAGGAGCAAUGUGAGGUUCAGCGUCCUUGUGGUCUGGCUAGCAUAUUGGAUGACAGCUCUGCCACCAUCAGUGUGUGUGAAAGGGACUUGUGACCGUGAAUCGCUUUGGGGCUUAAUAAAGGCAGAAGAGCGCUAUAAAAGAAUUUACCACAAUGCCACUUUGAAUUUUCUUUUCAAACGAACUUGCUGCUACAUUGUGUUUUUGUCUGAAACCAUUCCUCAGCAGGUUCUGUGGGAUGUUCAAACACUUCCUAAAUUCCUGCAGGAAUUUUGAAGCCGUUCCCAGCUCGUUAGCUUGGCACCAUUCCUGAAAAUCCACAUGAAGGAGAAGAAGAAAAAAAAAGUGACCAAUAUGAAAAGCAUAUCUCAAGAAGCCUUUUCUGCAGUGCCCAGAAAGAGUUUACAGAGGCAAAUCUUAAUAUUUAAGCAACAGACCUUGAAUUGAACCAGAUCAAUGCAUAUUUAGCACUCAGCACACGACUUUUGUUCAUAUUUGGGUGGUAAUCACCGCAAGGCUUUCCCCCUGUCAUUAUGCCACCUCAGAUUUGCCAACUGAUCGUCAUGCAUUCCCAAUCCCCCCCAAAUCUACUUUCAAAACUGACUAUUCAUUUACUGCCAAAUAUGCACCUCUUGACAGACGCCUGUGGAAUGGAGUAAUCAAUGUCGCUCUGUGGCUUUAUUGUUGCAGCUGAUUGGUGUACUGCAUGCAAUCUCCAAAAUUGGAUCAAUCAAUGACUUUACAGUGAAUUCAGUCAUUUUUCACAAGUAGGUGUUGAUGGUUAGACAAAACCAGAAAAUUCAAGACCUCCUCAUCUGGCUGCUUUGAUAAAAAAAAGAAAAAAUAAAUAAAUACCACAUUUGCUAAUAGUGAAAAUAUUGACUGCUGUGCUACAAUUGCGAAACACCAUCUAGACAGAAUUCUUAGCUCAUGUCAAGAGAAAUAGCAUAACAAAUAAAUUACAUCAAUAAUUUAUCAGGUCUUAUUAGACCAAAUGCCAAAUAGAGGCUUUUUAAGUUCUAAAAAUUACAACAUUUUAAAAAGAUUUCAAAAUUUACAUAAACGGAACAAUUUGAUAGCAGCAAUGACCCCAACUAUAAAAUAACUUAGAACAGCACUUUGAGCACUUAUGUGGUAAAAGGCAAUCAAAGACUCUUGUUCAUAUCGACACAGACAAACAGACCUUUUUCAAAUAAUAACACAAAAACCACUCAUAUAUUUAGCUUAUUGUGCUUUUGCAUAGUGCUUAGGGGAAAUGCACCACCAAAAAUCUCACUUUCCUACAAUAGCUGUUUUUGUAAAGGUGGUAUUGUUAAACAAACAUGGACUACAAGGUUUAGUCUGAACCAGAGUUCAGACCAAACAUACGUUUUCUAAACAGAUAAUCAGAGGGUAAAAAAAGAAACUAGUGUGGACCAAACAGUCAAGUGUGAAAGCUAGAAAUAAUCAACCUGGAAGCAACAAAUGUAAAAGAAUUAAAAAAAAAAUAUUGAUCUCAAUGCAAGACAUUCAAAAAACACACUUGAAGUUGUGUUUUGAUCAUUGCCAAAGGAGUGUAUGAAGACUAAUUUAUUUUAGUGCAAAAGCUUCAUGCGGUUUAGCAUUAACAGCAUUUUCUCUAUAUCACAAGACAAAAAGGAAGAAUGCCUCUAAUGGAAACCACAGCUCUCAGAGAAAAAAGAAAAACAACAGCUCAGGGAGAAAAAAAACAGAAAUGGAGAGUAGACGAGACGGAGAAGGAGGAAGGAAUCCCCCUGAGUGCAAAGUUAUGUUCAGAAGGAAUGUACAGCCGCCUGUUGUCUCAUGUAACUUCACUGGCAACAACCCAGACAACUCUCUGACACACAGACUGAGAGUAGGUGGGAAGAUGAUGGCUGAAAGGGGAGGACGGGGAAGGGUUGCGCAAGAAAUCGCCCAUCAUUUUAUAUGAAUUUAUAGGUUGGAAUGGAGUUUGCUGAAAGGAGCCGGAAAAUGUUGUGACAUGAGAUGGAUCACCACUUGACAAGCAUUUUUCAGCUGUCAGAGAAUUUGCUGUUAGGUUUUUUUUUGCAAAAAUGGGAAGACAGCCUUUUGAUAGCAACAUAGAGAGACCAUUAAUAAUGAAAGAUGGAAUCAGCUGGUGUUAAAAUACUGUAUAAAUAUCUUACUGAAUAGUUAUAACAAUUCAGAAAAGCUUCAGAGGUAAAAACCUACAAAAAGACAUUAAAAUAUUUAAAGUCCCAUCCAAAAAAAUCUUUUGAUCUAUUUUUUGUUUGCUCUCUUAAUUUGAAUAAAGAUAUACUCAAAAAUGCAAUAUUGAGCCUAAUUUUCUUUGUAUAUGUCUUCCAUCAUGAGAAAAAAGCUUCAAGUACAUGUUAAAAACACUAUUUGCAUUGGAAUGGGUCUUUAUAUUUUAUUUUAUGAAACCAUGUUAUGGAACCCCCCAAAAAGACAUUGAAUUAAAAAAAAAAAAAAAAAAAAAGUUGAGUUAAAACUAACUGGUGCAAACCAGAUAAUACCUGGUGCACACCAAAAAGUACCCGGUGCACGACAAAAAGUACCCGGUGCACGACAAAAAGUACCCGGUGCACGACAAAAAGUACCCGGUACACGACAAAAAGUACCCGGUACACACCAGAAAGCACCUGGUGCACACCGGAUAGUAUCUGUUUUUUUUUUAAUUAGAUUUUUUUUAUGUCACUUUCGGGGCUCCGUACUAUCAGACAAAGUUUUUGUUUUUCAGAAAAGUAUUACCAGAAGGUGCAUUUUCUUUGUUUUUUUUUAAGCAGCAGAUAAAAAAUGACUGUGUUUUCUCUGCCAAGUUUGCAUCGAGAUUGUCGCCUGCCCCAAAGUAAUAAAAAAGCAGAUUUUUAACUGAAUUUGGUGGGAAAGAAACUCCACCUAAAGUAUUAAAAACCGAGUGAGAAAAAUUGACUCAGCAACUUUCAGAACUACUGUGCUAUUAAAAAAAAACAACAAAACAAAA